rnacentral:rRNA from 1 species
AUUGAACGCUUGCGGCAUGCCUUACACAUGCAAGUCGAACGGUAACAGGUCUUCGGAUGCUGACGAGUGGCGAACGGGUGAGUAAUACAUCGGAACGUGCCUAGUAGUGGGGGAUAACUACUCGAAAGAGUGGCUAAUACCGCAUGAGAUCUACGGAUGAAAGCAGGGGAGCGCAAGACCUUGUGCUACUAGAGCGGCCGAUGGCAGAUUAGGUAGUUGGUGGGAUAAAAGCUUACCAAGCCGACGAUCUGUAGCUGGUCUGAGAGGACGAUCAGCCACACUGGGACUGGGACACGGCCCAGACUCCUACGGGAGGCAGCAGUGGGGAAUUUUGGACAAUGGGCGCAAGCCUGAUCCAGCAAUGCCGCGUGCAGGAUGAAGGCCUUCGGGUUGUAAACUGCUUUUGUACGGAACGAAAAGCCCUGGGUUAAUACCCUGGGGUCAUGACGGUACCGUAAGAAUAAGCACCGGCUAACUACGUGCCAGCCGCCGCGGUAAGAC